rnacentral:lncRNA from 1 species
AAACUAUAUAAAACAUAAAUACUUCUGCACAUGCUGGCACACAGAGAGGGUGACUUCUGUAUAUCAUUAAGGAAAUUUUAAUAAAUUGCAUUUUGGUAGAAGUCAGGGAGAAAGGCUUUUCUCCUGCCAGCAUAGCAUGAAUUGUGUGUUACAUCCACAGGCCCACAGCAGACUCUUGGCUCUCCAAGUCCAUAACCAGAAACCCUUCCAGAUGCACCACAAAAUAUUCCAUCAAUUUUCUUUUGUUUUUAUUAAACAGCUCAAACUGAAUUUUUUUUUUUUUUUUAGAACCUGUAGGCUACUCUAAGUUAAUCAUAUGGGAGAAGUGUUUUAUUUAGUGUUUUAUCUUCACUAAAUGAUUGUGGUUUCAAUAGUAAGAAAUUUGCCUCCAGAGCUUCUAUCUGCUUAUUGAUUGCUAACUUGACAUAUAUUUGUAUGUUUACAGAUUUCUACAAAUUCUGCUCUGAUAAAUGUUUAGGGACACCACCAAAGACCUGAUUUUGUACACGUUAAAAGGUCUUAGAUGUCUUCCAAUUCUAUACUUGUGGAUAUGCACAAUUUAAGAAAAAACUGGGUACUGUCUGGAAUUAUUGUUCCUCAAAAAUCUGUAAAGAUGUCAUGAAAUGCUUAGACUCUAUAACUUUAAUUGAAAGUAUUUAUCCAGCUCUGAUUUCAACAGAUGUCUGAACAACAGGGGAAAAAUAACCCCCACCCUGUAACAAAACAUCAUCUGCUUCCAGAUUUCCCAUGCUAAAGUUUAUGGCAGUCAAUGGUAACACACGUGUACUUUUCUCUCAUGCUUUUAUAAGAACUACUUAUCUUUUUUUAAAAGGCUUCUUUUUCAUUUUGCAGAGAUGCCCUCUGUGUAUUGGAUGAUUUUCACUUGAAUCUUGAAGACUUUUUCACACUUGGGACACCUGUUUUUGAACCCCCAUGUUUAAGGGAACUGGGAAAAAAAAUACAGUGGAACAUUUGGAUCCAUCUGGUUAGAUGUGGGAAUGUUAUGAUCAUCUGAACAUCUGGAUAAGAUGGUAACUGCCACCAAACAGUUUGGCAAAUAGUAGAUUUGUCCCUGCUUGAGCCUUCUAUGGAUGGUUCAGAGUUUUUUUGCC